AGGACGAACGCUGGCGGCGUGCUUAACACAUGCAAGUCGAGCGGUAAGGCCCUUUCGGGGGUACACGAGCGGCGAACGGGUGAGUAACACGUGAGCAAUCUGCCCUUCACUUCGGGAUAAGCCUCGGGAAACGGGGUCUAAUACCGGAUAUGACCGCGCUACGCAUGUGGUGUGGUGGAAGUUCUGGCGGUGGAGGAUGAGCUCGCGGCCUAUCAGUCUUGUUGGUGGGGUAAUGGCCUACAAGGCUUCGACGGGUAGCCGGCCUGAGAGGGUGACCGGCCGCACGUGGGACUGACGACGACCGGCCAGACUCCGUACGGGAGGCGAGCGAGG
rnacentral:rRNA from 1 species